UACAGAGGGGGCAAGCGUUGUUCGGAAUUACUGGGCGUAAAGGACGCGUAGGCGGCCCGCUAAGUCGAACGUGAAAUCCCCGAGCUCAACUCGGGAACUGCGUCCGAUACUGGCGGGCUUGAAUCCGGGAGAGGGAUGCGGAAUUCCAGGUGUAGCGGUGAAAUGCGUAGAUAUCUGGAGGAACACCGGUGGCGAAGGCGGCAUCCUGGACCGGCAUUGACGCUGAGGCGCGAAAGCUAGGGGAGCAAACGGG
rnacentral:rRNA from 1 species